UACGUAGGGUGCGAGCGUUAAUCGGAAUUACUGGGCGUAAAGCGUGCGCAGGCGGCGCGUUAAGACAGGUGUGAAAGCCCCGAGCUUAACUUGGGAAUUGCGCUUGUGACUGGCGUGCUGGAGUGUGGCAGAGGGAGGUGGAAUUCCACGUGUAGCAGUGAAAUGCGUAGAGAUGUGGAGGAACACCGAUGGCGAAAGCGGCUUCCUGGUCCAGCACCGACGUUCAGGCACGAAAGCGUGGGAGCAA
rnacentral:rRNA from 1 species